GACGAACGCUGGCGGCGUGCUUAACACAUGCAAGUCGAACGGAAAGGCCCUGCUUUUGUGGGGUGCUCGAGUGGCGAACGGGUGAGUAACACGUGAGUAACCUGCCCUUGACUUUGGGAUAACUUCAGGAAACUGGGGCUAAUACCGGAUAGGAGCUCCUGCUGCAUGGUGGGGGUUGGAAAGUUUCGGCGGUUGGGGAUGGACUCGCGGCUUAUCAGCUUGUUGGUGGGGUAGUGGCUUACCAAGGCUUUGACGGGUAGCCGGCCUGAGAGGGUGACCGGCCACACUGGGACUGAGAUACGGCCCAGACUCCUACGGGAGGCAGCAGUGGGGAAUAUUGCACAAUGGGCGGAAGCCUGAUGCAGCAACGCCGCGUGAGGGAUGACGGCCUUCGGGUUGUAAACCGCUGUCGGCUGUGAAGAAGAGUGAGUGACGGUAAUGGGUAAAGAAGCACCGGCUAACUACGUG
rnacentral:rRNA from 1 species